AUGGAUCACAAAGAAGAGGCUUCUUCGAGAAGUUGCAUUUGCCUUGCCGAUACUGUAAUCAAGGAAUAUUUUCCUUCUUCAAUGGCUUCCUGUCAGGAUAUGAAGAAAUGUCCUGAGAAAGUUAAGUGAACCCUUUCACGGGCAUAUAAGGAAUCUGAUUACUCCUCGUAUUACCAAUUAGUUUUACGGUUUCUUGACUUCCCAUCUAAGAAGCAAGUACAAGACAACUAGUCAGUCUAAAAACAUCAUCAGAGAUUCAGAGUCAAGAGGAAUCGAUCAAUGCCGCAGCUUAUGGCGAAACUGUGUCAUUGACUUGCGUCUCCACCAAAGAAGAGACAUUAGAAAAUUCAUGGAGUUGAUGAGAGAAUUCGUUGUUUGAAAGGUCUAGUGCUUGCAGCAAUGGAAGAGAAAACAUAGACAACGCACUGCCUCCAUCGAGUAGAUUGGAACUCAAGUCAACAAACGCCAAAUUGACAAGGUUUUCCCAAUGAGUGGAACUAAUGGAAGUAUGGAACCACUGAACUUGUUCUCUGACAUUUGUAAAUCGUACAAGUAUGUGAGGUUUG
rnacentral:sRNA from 1 species